rnacentral:lncRNA from 1 species
AAACGUUGGGUUAACUUCGCAACUUGUCUCUGCAAAUCUUCAAUCGUCACAUCCUGAAUAUUACGAUCACAGUGCGGGACUUACUCAAUCGGAACCUGUCCUCGACGACCACGACCACGUCCACCAACCAUUAUAACUGAUGGAAUUUAUCUCCCAAGAAGAUGCUGACGCUCUGAUACCAACUGACGCCGGGUAGGAUAGUGAUUAUCCUAUUGGCUUGUUGUAGCAGAUGAUUCGCAAGAAAAGAACGACAGAAAAUGCCCAAAAAAACCAGAGAAAAUACUCUGAAUUCAACUCAAUAUUAUUA